GGGCCCGCACAAGCGGUGGAGCAUGUGGUUUAAUUCGAUGCAACGCGAAGAACCUUACCAGGGCUUGACAUACUGCGAAUCUACUUGAAAGAGAAGAGUGCCUUCGGGAAUGCAGAUACAGGUGGUGCAUGGCUGUCGUCAGCUCGUGUCGUGAGAUGUUGGGUUAAGUCCCGCAACGAGCGCAACCCUUGUUUUUAGUUACCAAUUCGUUGGGUUUUCUAGAAAGACUGCCGGUGACAAACCGGAGGAAGGUGAGGAUGACGUCAAGUCAGCAUGCCCCUUAUGUCCUGGGCUACACACGUGCUACAAUGGUUAAGACAACGAGUUGCAAAUCUGCAAAGAUAAGCUAAUCUCUUAAACUUAGCCGAAGUUCAGAUUGUAGGCUGCAACUCGCCUACAUGAAGUUGGAAUCGCUAGUAA
rnacentral:rRNA from 1 species